rnacentral:rRNA from 1 species
GAUGAACGCUCGCGGCAGGCCUAACACAUGCAAGUCGAGGGGGAGGUUACUUUCGGGUAACUGAGACCGGCGUACGGGUGCGUAACGCGUAUACAAUCUGCCUUUCACUGGGGGAUAGCCCGAAGAAAUUUGGAUUAAUACCCCAUAGUAUAGUAAUACGGCAUCGUGAUGCUAUUAAAGCUUAGGUGGUGAAAGAUGAGUAUGCGUUCUAUUAGCUAGUUGGAGAGGUAACGGCUCCCCAAGGCGAUGAUAGAUAGGGGUUCUGAGAGGGAUGUCCCCCACACUGGUACUGAGAUACGGACCAGACUCCUACGGGAGGCAGCAGUGAGGAAUAUUGGACAAUGGUAGGAAGACUGAUCCAGCCAUGCCGCGUGCAGGAUGAAGGUCUUAUGGAUUGUAAACUGCUUUUGUAAGGGAAGAAUAAGGGCUACGCGUAGUUUGAUGACGGUACCUUAAGAAUAAGCAUCGGCUAACUCCGUG